AGCAGCAGGGCUCAGUGGAUAGAGCGUGGGCCUGAGAGUCAGAAGGACCUGGGUUCUAAUCCUGGUUCUGCUA
rnacentral:tRNA from 1 species